GUCAGCGACUGAGCGAAAGCAUUAAGUAAUCCACCUGGGGAGUACGUCAGCAAUGAUGAAACUCAAAGGAAUUGACGGGGGCCCGCACAAGCGGAGGAACAUGUGGUUUAAUUCGAUGAUACGCGAGGACCUUACCUGGGCUUAAAUGUAGAGUGCAUAGAGUGGAAACAUUCUUUUCCUUCGGGACCCUUUACAAGGUGCUGCAUGGUUGUCGUCAGCUCGUGCCGUGAGGUGUCGGGUUAAGUCCCAUAACGAGCGCAACCCUCAUCGCCAGUUGCCAUCACAUUAUGGUGGGGACUCUGGUGAAACUGCCGGUGCAAACCGUGAGGAAGGUGAGGAUGACGUCAAAUCAGCACGGCCCUUAUGUCCAGGGCUACACACGUGUUACAAUGGCUGGUACAACAGGCAGCUACCACGCGAGUGGAUGCUAAUCCCCAAAACCAGUCUUAGUUCGGAUCGGAGUCUGCAACCCGACUCCGUGAAGCUGGAUUCGCUAGUAAUCGCACAUCAGCCAUGGUGCGGUGAAUACGUUCCCGGGCCUUGUACACACC
rnacentral:rRNA from 1 species